rnacentral:rRNA from 1 species
AAUCCUGGCUCAGGAUGAACGCUAGCGGCAGGCUUAACACAUGCAAGUCGAGGGGCAGCGCGGGAUAGCAAUAUCCUGGCGGCGACCGGCGGAAGGGUGCGUAACGCGUGAGCGACAUGCCCGUUGCCCGGGGACAACCGGUGGAAACGCCGACUAAUCCCCGAUGGGAUAUUGUGCCGCAUGGCACGAUAUUGAAAGUUACGGCGGCAACGGAUUGGCUCGCGUCCGAUUAGCUGGUUGCGGGGUAACGG